rnacentral:rRNA from 1 species
GACGAACGCUGGCGGCGUGCCUAAUACAUGCAAGUAGAACGCUGAAGGAGGAGCUUGCUCUUCUGGAUGAGUUGCGAACGGGUGAGUAACGCGUAGGUAACCUGCCUGGUAGCGGGGGAUAACUAUUGGAAACGAUAGCUAAUACCGCAUAAGAGUAGAUGUUGCAUGACAUUUACUUAAAAGGUGCAAUUGCAUCACUACCAGAUGGACCUGCGUUGUAUUAGCUAGUUGGUGGGGUAACGGCUUACCAAGGCGACGAUACAUAGCCGACCUGAGAGGGUGAGGGGCAACACGGGGAGAGAGACGGGGCCAAGACUCCGGCGGGGGGCGAAGGAGGGGAAUUUGGGAAAAUGGAGGGAGGUUGGACGGAGAAACGCCGGGUGAGAAAAAAAGGUGUUGGGAGGGAAAAGUCGUUUUGAAAGGAAAAAAGGAGGGGGGGAGGGAAACUUCCACACUGGGAGUGUCCUUAACAAGAAGGGGAGGGUAAACUACGG